rnacentral:sRNA from 1 species
GUGUUUUUUCUCUUUUAUCGUUCAGUACUUGCCAAGGCAGCUCAUCGGGAUCCCGGAGACCCGACGCAGUUCGAUCUCGUUGCCUCACUCAACAGCAACAAUAAUUGAGACAAUAGUUGGCUAACAAGUUUGAACAAGUUUGGUAUUAGUAGCGCUUGGCGAGAGCCAUUUCCCUUGGCAAUGCAGGGAUCUCCAGCGUAGCAGUGACCCGAGUUCUCCGCAGGAUCCCUUUUUGUAAUUUAUCAUUGAAAUAGUUUAUUUAACACCAGUAAGUCUGAAACACCUUCAUUCAAGCUAUUUUUUGUCUUCCAUUCUCGUCUUUGUACCCGUAUUGUAUUCAGUUGCUACAUCGCCAACCAUUCCAUGUAUUUUAUUUCAUACCAACUACUACUCCAUCAUGCAUCUCACUAUAAGCCUG